rnacentral:rRNA from 1 species
GAUGAACGCUAGCUACAGGCUUAACACAUGCAAGUCGAGGGGUAACGAGAGGAAAGCUUGCUUUCCUUGUCGACGACCGGCGCACGGGUGAGUAGCGCGUAUCCAACCUGCCCCCAACUAGGGAAUAACCUUGCGAAAGUAAGACUAAUACCCUAUAAUUUCCUCAGAUGACAUCUGACGAGGAAUAAAGAUUUAUCGGUUGUGGAUGGGGUUGCGUCUGAUUAGCUUGUUGGCGGGGUAACGGCCCACCAAGGCAACGAUCAGUAGGGGUUCUGAGAGGAAGGUCCCCCACAUUGGAACUGAGACACGGUCCAAACUCCUACGGGAGGCAGCAGUGAGGAAUAUUGGUCAAUGGGCGGAAGCCUGAACCAGCCAAGUAGCGUGCAGGAUGACGGCCCUAUGGGUUGUAAACUGCUUUUAUACAGGAAUAAAGUUAGCCACGUGUGGUUAUUUGUAGGUACUGUAUGAAUAAGGACCGGCUAAUUCCGUGCCAGCAGCCGCAGUAA